rnacentral:rRNA from 1 species
CAAAUAUCGGGAGGUUACGUCAUAGUCAUACGAAAUAUUUUAAUAAGCUCAUAACGUUUUAACGUACUAUGUAGUUUAACCUCGCAUAGGAUGAAAAAUACCUGACACCUGAAUACAACGAAUAAAUCUCCGACGGUAUGUACCUAGUCCAUACUAUAACUAACGUCUUUAAAGAUAUGCUAACAACACUUAAAACUGGAUAAAGAAGGACUAAAUCCUCUUGAUGUUAAAAAACCACGUACUAGAUUUUAUCAAAGUUGUUUAGGAGGGGAUUACAAGAAUUACAAGACACCAUGUGUUAAACCCAUUUCCUCUCGUGUAAUGAGAUUACAAAGACGUCUACUAUAAUUUAACCUGUAAAGUUACCUAUUAUAUACCAUAACUGAACCUGUAACCACAACACCUUGUGAGAUCGUCCAAAACCUAGAAUAUCUUCAUAGUCAACCGUCCCAGACUUUUAGUGCCACAUUCACAAAGUCGGAUAAUUAGACAUCUAUAUUUUCAGGCAUGUAGAGAUGGUUAUUCCGUUAUUAGGGCUUCUUUCAAGAUGAUAACGUUUGCGAGGUUGACUUGUUCCUUAUACUUACAAAUUUACUUCUUUCUUCGGUCAAAGAGGUCUUCCUUAUGUCUUAUUAUAAAACCUAAUAAAUGAACUCCAAUACCCCUUCACACACAAGUUUACUUAGAUCGUACGGUUAUUGUAAACAACCAAGGACUCUUGAGUGUACUUCAUCAUGAUAUAGUGUGAGAAGGCACGGUUCCUUCCGACCUAGCGAUCGUUCAGCAGGUAGUACGACCGACGACAUGUGGUUCUUACGGUCGCUCUUGUACAUAUAAGGUAUUUGAAAAAGUAACAUAAUAUGAGGGAGGCAG